CCUACGGGAGGCAGCAGUGGGGAAUCUUGCGCAAUGGGCGAAAGCCUGACGCAGCAACGCCGCGUGCGGGAAGAAGGCUUUCGGGCUGUAAACCGCUUUCAGCAGGAACGAAAAUGACGGUACCUGCAGAAGAAGGAGCGGCCAACUAUGUGCCAGCAGCCGCGGUGAUACAUAGGCUUCAAGCGUUGUCCGGAUUUAUUGGGCGUAAAGAGUUCGUAGGCGGUCGAGUAAGUCGGGUGUGAAAAUUCUGGGCUCAACCCAGAGACGCCACCCGAUACUGCUUGACUUGAGUUCGAUAGGGGAGUGGGGAAUUCCUAGUGUAGCGGUGAAAUGCGCAGAUAUUAGGAGGAACACCGGUGGCGAAGGCGCCACUCUGGAUCGAUACUGACGCUGAGGAACGAAAGCAUGGGUAGCAAACAGGAUUAGAUACCCUGGUAGUCCAUGCCGUAACGGUAGGGCGACUAGGUGUGGUUUCGUUAUUAACGUAAUACGCGCCGUCGCUACGCAUAAGUGCCCGCCGUCGGGUAGGUACGGUCGCGAGACGUAAACCUACAAUAGUAAGUUGUACGG
rnacentral:rRNA from 1 species